rnacentral:lncRNA from 1 species
AUUAAAAUUUGCAACGCUGCUGAUUCGUCAUCCACCGUCAUUUGAAGUCUCUGCUUUCGCUGCAGGUGCUGGUCUAGAUAUCUUGUCCAGUCUUUAAUCUUGUUUUUCGUCAAGGCUCUCGUCAAACCCAUUCAUGCGUCUAAAGGCACACCUUGACAUUGAGUUCCAGCGCUGUUCAUCUCGUAACCUGGAUCGCAUUUUUGAGUAUUGACGCACGUGAAGGAUCCCACUGUGUUGGUGCACUGGUGACCCCGCGGACACGGACUUCCUCGUGCGCAUUCGUCGAUAUCUUUUGCGGAAUCCCAGUCCGCAGCUGACCGGCUCCCGAUCCACGCACCGGAAAGUACCGACGGCGUUGACGCAUGUUCCACUGCAGUUGUGAAUCCCUUCGGCACAUUCGUCAAUAUCUGGCCCAUGAAAACAAAGUUAAAAGGGAAAACGGGACAGUAAUGAACACGAAAACGUAAGCAGACGACAAUUAGCCCCGACACAAAGCGUCCACCACCAAGAUUGAGAAAGAAAAAUGGAGCGCUGCAUAGUUACGUCUUCCACGGAGAACAACACCUGCUGAACGCUUUACCUUGACAGAAUCGAUCUUGGACGCUGAAACGAUGUCCAGCCGGGCAGAACGGAUAAGCUCGACAAUCAAACGAUCCAUAAUUGUUGACGCACAGUGCCGUCUGAGUCUCGCAGUUGUGCAAUCCUUCCACGCAUUCAUCAAUAUCUAUUGCCAAUGAGGUGAUUUUUACAUUAUGUUAGGAUCGUGUCAGGCCGAUGAUUAGAUAAGCGGCCGUGGGAUGUGUUACGACGGAAUCCUGCCAGACAAGGCGCCAAUGGUUUGCACCUAUAAGAUCCGGCAGUGUUGACGCAGUCGGAUUUCGAUGGGUCACACCGGUGAGUCCCUUCCUCGCAUUCGUUGAUAUCUUUAUGCAGAAAAUCAAUCUCUAAAUGCGCUCGCUGAAAUCACGGAAAUAUCGUAUGCAAAAAUUACCUUUGCAACGGCCACCGCCAGUCUCUCUGCGGAAUCCUGACGGGCACGAACCCGACGUAUUGUGAUGUUGGCGUGAAGUUCUGACUGUUGUUGUUGUAGGGGCUGUUGUGGUAGUGGUGGUGGUCGUAGUAGUAGUCGGAGGCGGGGUAGUUGUUGUUGUUGCUCUUGUGGUGGUCGACGUAGUUGGAAUCGGCGUCGUGGUUUUAGUUGUUGUAGUAGGUUUUGCUGUAGUUGUUGUUGUCGUCGUAGUCGAUGUGGUUGAUGUAGUCGAAGUUGUGGAUGAACUCAACCUCAGGGUUGGUCGAACGUUGCCUGUUGUUGUCGUCGUUGGAAAACUGACCGUUUGCAAGAUUGGCCUCAGUUGUUCGCAUCGGUACGAUCCCGCCAAUGUGCAAUUGUGCCCUGAAGUGAUGCACUCAUCGAUGUCAACGCAUGGGCCCAGGCCGUCGGCCACGUCGGGCUGAUAUCCCAGUGCACAGGCUUCAAGACAUUCGUAAGAUCCUUCCGUGUUCACGCAACGCUUGUCCUCGUCGCACAAGCUAAACUCUUCCAGCUCUCCGUUUAAACACUCGUCCAAAUCUGAAAAGAGUUUCUGUUUUAUUAUAACCCCCAGAAAAACAGUGGAACUGGCUCGAAUGUUUUGUUGCUUAAUUGACAAUCGGAGGUCUAUUUGUAGUGCCGGAGGACAUGGCCACUAUAUUUAUGUUCCAAUAAAAUUCGACCGACCAGAGAGAAAAGAAACGACGAAAAUAGAUGUUGUUUAAACUCCAUUUAUCGGUCAUGAAUAAGCUUUGUUUAUUAACAUCAAAAAGCGGUGGUUCAUUGAAAUGAACGACAGAUGUCCAAACAAGUCGAAUUUUAUUGGAACGUUAUUUGUCAUGCAAUCUGUUAAAGACUGAAAGCAGUGUUCUUUGGAUGCUUCAUCCAGCAACUUGCUAUUCCCAAAUGAACUCGUGAGUUCAUUUAUUUAAAUCUGCAUCAAAUUCUGGAUAGUAAUCGCUACCAAGAACCACUGGCUACAUUACGAAGAGACAGGCAUCAUUACCAAGAAACUAUCGAGCUACAUCUACAAUCUGAAAUCAAAGCGCAUUAAGGUUCAAAUUGAAGUGACUAAGUGAAAAUCAUCAUUUGAAAGAUUAAAAAAAAAAAUGCAACUGUCUAGAAUAAAGAUUGUUAUUUUAUCUGCUGACCGAUGCAGACUUGUUCGUCCUCAUCGUAGGUGUAACCGGGCGGGCACUGGCUAAAACCCGGAGUGUGGUGAUGAUCGUCGACGUCGUGAUGGCGCUGGCCGCUUGAAGGGGAAGCUGCGUCGGCGCUGAGCGGUUCGCAAUGAUAGCGACCCAGGUCAUUGAUGCACAUUUCCAUUCCAUGGAUGCAAGAGUCGAGACGUUCGGCGCAUUCGUCCACAUCUGUGACAAGAAUAAGGAACGGCGUUUUGCCCACGACAAGAAAUGCCCUCAACCAGUUAACAAGACGAUUGGACAGGACAUCACACGCAAAAACACAGGAAUAAGCGAACAAAAAGGAAUAUGGGAAAGAAAAAGGCGGACAUGCAUCUGUACCAACUAACCCGAAAACAGAUUCAACUACCGUACCUGAGAUUAAGCUGGCAUGAAAAAGAUUGGAACAAGCGAGAAAAAUAAAGGACAACUUACAAGGUCUUUUCGUCAGAAGCCAACUGGUAUCCCGAAUGGCAGGAGCAUUCCACGGCCAGUCCCGUGUCCGUACACUUUUGCGAACAGGGAUUAUCCGUUGAACAGCUGAAGGAUGCAUGAUUUUCCAUCGGCAAGUAGCUGGAAACCUUCGCGGCAUUCGCAUCGGUAAGACGAACCUCCAGUUGGUACACAAACGUGAGCGCAUAAUUCUCCUGGGAAGCGGGCGCAGAGAUCUUCGUCAUCCUCUACAGUUGGGCUCGUCGAUCGGGAAUUUGGGCAGCGCCGGAGUUGGUGGAGGUGGAAGAAAUGGUGGAAUUUGAGUUCUGGACGUAGUGCUGGGGAUGCGUGGAUUGGGGAACGAGCUAUCUGGGAAUACCUGUUGAAAAUAGAAUUCGAUUUCUGGAAGAACAAAUGGUGCACGUAGAAAUCAAAGCAAUAGACCUGAGGCAGAGUUUGCUGGCAACACGAACGAUAAGCGUCGUCCCAAGGAGCGCCAAACUGGAAAGCUCUAAAGGUACAUCCCAUUGACAUUGAACCAGCAACGAGCCCCAAUUUGCAUCCCUCGCAACAGUCCUGAUAUUUUCAAAUAAUGAACAGGCGGAUAAACAAAGCCACUCACUUUAUGGGUUUCACCGCCCAAAUCUCGGUUAACCGAACAUUCCCGAUCCGCUCUGGCCGACUGUUUACCCAACUCGCAUUGUCGCUCCCUGAAAAACGCCAGUUGGCGAGCCGUUAAAGUUAGGCAGGGCGAGUAUAGCCCACCCUCCUCGUCUAUCACCAAGCAUGUCGGCCAAACAAAUACGAUGCACUUGUAUAUAGGUCAAGACAUGUGAUGUCAAAUUAUUCGAAAAACUAUACAGACUGGAGUUUGACCAGCCGACAGGGCCACGUUGGUGGUCUCAAUUGCACACACAUCACAGACAAUGGUAAAUCAUCAAAUCAAGAAUGAAAAAUUAACCGACCGGUGCGGGAAAGGCGGCGCACUGCAGGUUUUCCACGCCCCAUUUGACACCGAGAUUGCAGCAGUGAGACAGCGGUUGUUCAAAGUCACCUACCACUAGUAUGGCAAACAUUCCAUCACGUAAAAACAGGGGAAAAAACAUGACAGGACGUAGACAAUUAGCAGAAAGUUACUGGGCGGUGAGUAAAUGAUCAAAAACACUUUCUCCUUUAGGAUAUGAAUUUAUUACUAACAUGUUAACUUUAUAUAGAAUUAUUUUUCUUCUCUUCGAAUACUCGAUGCUGAUACUUGUCAAGUUUGACUCUUGUUUAAAUGUAACCAAUGGGCUUUAAAACCAUUUUUAGCGCGCAUCAGCAGCAAUUGCUACACAGCUGGUUUUUGUUUAUUUUAAGUUGAAAAACUCAUCUGAAAAUGCGGAAGCUUGUACGGAUGAAUGCCGACAAACAGGGCGACUACAGUAUACAGCAAUACUUUGUAUAUAUGUUUAGGACUCUGCCCAUGUGUACAGUCGGCUGAACAUUUCGUUUCUAUAGUCCUAUCACCCGCAGAAAGAUUGACAUGCUCCCCUUUUCCCUUCGUUUCUUUUUUUUUUUUCAAAAUCGUUUCUACUGAUAACAACAAGCAGAGAAAACUGGAGGCUACUUUUUUUUGCCUUUUUGGGAGGUGGUCCAUGCCUUGACCAUUUCGACUUUCAGCGAGUGUCAGCACCAACGUUAAGCGAUUCCCGGCUAAUGAACUGGUGAAAGAAAUCAAAAGCCGUGGGCCGAGUGCUGACGGGCGCCACUUGACUUCAAGUGUAUUAUGGAUAUUGGUGAAUUUUUUCUAAGUAACCAACUAGGAAUUUCCCAUCUAGCAUGCGCAUAGAAUAUACGGCCUCCAUUGAAGUGUAAUGGAAGGGUUUUUAUCUUGUCAAGAGUCAAUGCGUUCCAGACUGAAAUACGCUCUAUUGAAAAUCACAGCACGGCCAGCAGACCUUUGAACCAGACUUACCGUAAACGUCUGUGAGAAAAAGAAGAGAGAGUCCAAUCAAGGGCAAUCUUGUAGUCCAGUGCCCCAUUCUUUGGUAAUUUUUUUUGCCUCCUUUCAAUUUUGUAAUGGGAAGAAAUUUUGUUUUGCUUAGUAGGUCUUUUUUUUCUUCCUGGAAAGGCUUGACAGUAGCUGUCACGCAAACAGCGAUGCGCAAAACGGCGCACAGUCGCACACACACAAUAAAUCUCACUGAUGUCUAAACAAUCAAUGCAAGUCCAGAGGCUUUAUUUGUCUUAUCGUCCUCAAUUUUUCCUUUUAUCUCGUUUUUUUUGUUGUUGUCUUUCUCUCGCCUCAACGAGAAUCUUGUAUGGUUUUAUGUUAAUCUGGUAGCUGUUCGCUGAGUUCGUAUCCAGGUACAGUACCAAUUUUCUGAGUGAUGAUCCCCCCGGUAGAGAAACGGGUGUUGAAUUACGCGCUAAACAAGACACCAAUCAACACUUGAAAUUGAGUGCGAUGGAGUGAACCGGGAUGCUCGGGUAGCGGAAGAAAAUAUUGCCGGAGUUGUUCAAGUCAGUCGAGAGGCGCGGCUAAGCGAUGACUGACGACGGGUGGGCCAGUUCAAGAGAACAAACUCUAUGCGGCUUUUUUUUUUUUACGAGCCCUCUUUCGGCUCACCAGAUCCGAGGGGGAAGGGCUUAAACACGUAAAAAAAAAAAGGAAGAUAAGAAGAGAUUGGGUCUCUACACGUUGUCGCCUUCCCUAUUGUCUUUCGCUGUCAAACAAGAUGAAACUGGGCAACAGCAGUCGCACAUCUGCUUCUUGUCACAUUUCGAUAAAUUUGUCCGGUCAGCCUCCCUUCCACAUCCGGGCGUCUGACAUCCGAUUCCGGGAGGCCCUGAACCAGUGACCACGAACACACCCGGUCAAUGAAUUCAAAGCAACGGAAGAUUUCCUAGUUUCUCUGUCACAAAAUUGUAGGCUUGUGAGUUGGUUUUUUUUUUUUGUCUUGGUAAUGUGGGGCUGUUUAAUGACACUGCUUGGAAUGCGAAAAAAGAAAAGGGUAAAACGCAGUGCGUUUCUCGCGUGUGGGAGGUGUUGAAGAGUGAACAUUUUUUGUUUGUUGUUCCUCUAAGACACUAUCUUUACUGUUAAUGUCAUUAAUGUGAUCCCAUUCUUUUAGUGGCAUAUCAACAACUAAAAUGUUUUUUGCAUAUAGAACCAAACAUUCCAUUCCAACGUCAUCUCCCACUCUUUUUUUAUCAUUCGGUUACAUCCUCCCCGCAAGGAAUGUCUUGCUGAACGAAGGAUUAAAUAAUCAACAUCCCUGUUGUCAAGUCACGUUUGGGGUAUCCUUCACUCAGACAGGUGCACAUUCCAUACCAUCUAUCGACAAGUAAUUAUUUACGGUAGAACAUAAAACACAUUGUUCCCUUCACAUAGCAAUUUUAAAAAUUUGCUCUUACAGUUUCCUUUCUUUUCUUUUUAUUAUAAUAGUUUUUUAUUAUUUCUUUUUUCUUUUACAAAUAAUUUGGUACUGCGAUAAAUUGUCACUUAUUAAUAAAACACUUGGUUAGUCGAUCAACUCUCGUGUGUACAGUGGCAUUCGCUCUGGUCUUAUGCUAGUCAGUACUCCACAUUUUAAAGUCAAUAGUGAGAUUGAGCUUUCACGACCGCACAUGACUGUAGGCGACAACUCCCGCCAACGUAAGUAUGAGUCCGAAUAGUUGGUUGGCAGACAUGGGGUCCUGGAACAAGAAGAAGCCUGCCGCCACUGUCAGGCAGAAUUUCAAAUGACCAGCCAUAUUGUAACUGUUCAAUAGAUUAAUGUAACAAAAACAAAACUUUGGUUUAGUCUGACCAUUAACAACAACAUGCCGAAAAGAAAAUUACGUCAGCGCAGACGUGCUGCCGAUGAUCCAGUAAAUGGACAAAUUCACAGUGAAGGCGAUCAAACAAGAGCAUACAACUGGAACCUAAUAAAUAUAAAGUCAAAAA